rnacentral:rRNA from 1 species
GACGAACGCUGGCGGCGUGCUUAACACAUGCGAGUCGAACGGAAAGGCCCUGCUUUUGUGGGGUGCUCGAGUGGCGAACGGGUGAGUAACACGUGAGUAACCUGCCCUUGACUUUGGGAUAACUUCAGGAAACUGGGGCUAAUACCGGAUAGGAGCUCCUGCUGCAUGGUGGGGGUUGGAAAGUUUCGGCGGUUGGGGAUGGACUCGCGGCUUAUCAGCUUGUUGGUGGGGUAGUGGCUUACCAAGGCCUUGACGGGUAGCCGGCCUGAGAGGGUGACCGGCCACAUUGGGACUGAGAUACGGCCCAGACUCCUACGGGAGGCAGCAGUGGGGAAUAUUGCACAAUGGGCGGAAGCCUGAUGCAGCAACGCCGCGUGCGGGAUGACGGCCUUCGGGUUGUAAACCGCUUUCGCCUGUGACGAAGCGUGAGUGACGGUAAUGGGUAAAGAAGCACCGGCUAACUACGU